rnacentral:rRNA from 1 species
GACGAACGCUGGCGGCGUGCUUAACACAUGCAAGUCGAACGGAAAGGCCCUGCUUUUGUGGGGUGCUCGAGUGGCGAACGGGUGAGUAACACGUGAGUAACCUGCCCUUGACUUUGGGAUAACUUCAGGAAACUGGGGCUAAUACCGGAUAGGAGCUCCUGCUGCAUGGUGGGGGUUGGAAAGUUUCGGCGGUUGGGGAUGGACUCGCGGCUUAUCAGCUUGUUGGUGGGGUAGUGGCUUACCAAGGCUUUGACGGGUAGCCGGCCUGAGAGGGUGACCGGCCACAUUGGGACUGAGAUACGGCCCAGACUCCUACGGGAGGCAGCAGUGGGGAAUAUUGCACAAUGGGCGGAAGCCUGAUGCAGCAACGCCGCGUGCGGGAUGACGGCCUUCGGGUUGUAAACCGCUUUCGCCUGUGACGAAGCGUGAGUGACGGUAAUGGGUAAAGAAGCACCGGCUAACUACGUGCCAGCAGCCGCGGUGAUACGUAGGGUACGAGCGUUGUCCGGAUUUAUUGGGCGUAAAGGGCUCGUAGGUGGUUGAUCGCGUCGGAAGUGUAAUCUUGGGGCUUAACCCUGAGCGUGCUUUCGAUACGGGUUGACUUGAGGAAGGUAGGGGAGAAUGGAAUUCCUGGUGGAGCGGUGGAAUGCGCAGAUAUCAGGAGGAACACCAGUGGCGAAGGCGGUUCUCUGGGCCUUUCCUGACGCUGAGGAGCGAAAGCGUGGGGAGCGAACAGGCUUAGAUACCCCGGUAGUCCACGCUGUAAACGGUGGGUACUAGGUGUGGGGUCCAUUCCACGGGUUCCGUGCCGUAGCUAACGCUUUAAGUACCCCGCCUGGGGAGUACGGCCGCAAGGCUAAAACUCAAAGGAAUUGACGGGGCCCCGCACAAGCGGCGGAGCAUGCGGAUUAAUUCGAUGCAACGCGUAGAACCUUACCUGGGUUUGACAUGGAUCGGGAGUGCUCAGAGAUGGGUGUGCCUCUUUUGGGGUCGGUUCACAGGUGGUGCAUGGCUGUCGUCAGCUCGUGUCGUGAGAUGUUGGGUUAAGUCCCGCAACGAGCGCAACCCCUGUUCACUGUUGCCAGCACGUUAUGGUGGGGACUCAGUGGAGACCGCCGGGGUCAACUCGGAGGAAGGUGGGGAUGACGUCAAGUCAUCAUGCCCCUUAUGUCCAGGGCUUCACGCAUGCUACAAUGGCUGGUACAGAGAGUGGCGAGCCUGUGAGGGUGAGCGAAUCUCGGAAAGCCGGUCUCAGUUCGGAUUGGGGUCUGCAACUCGACCUCAUGAAGUCGGAGUCGCUAGUAAUCGCAGAUCAGCAACGCUGCGGCGAAUACGUUCCCGGG